GAGCUGUCGGGAAGAUCAGAAGCCAGUCAUGGAUGACCAGCGCGACCUUAUCUCCAACAAUGAGCAACUGCCCAUGCUGGGCCGGCGCCCUGGGGCCCCGGAGAGCAAGUGCAGCCGCGGAGCCCUGUACACAGGCUUUUCCAUCCUGGUGACUCUGCUCCUCGCUGGCCAGGCCACCACCGCCUACUUCCUGUACCAGCAGCAGGGCCGGCUGGACAAACUGACAGUCACCUCCCAGAACCUGCAGCUGGAGAACCUGCGCAUGAAGCUUCCCAACUCCCAAGCCUGUGAGCAAGAUGCGCAUGGCCACCCCGCUGCUGAUGCAGGCGCUGCCCAUGGGAGCCCUGCCCCAGGGGCCCAUGCAGAAUGCCACCAAGUAUGGCAACAUGACAGAGGACCAUGUGAUGCACCUGCUCCAGAAUGCUGACCCCCUGAAGGUGUACCCGCCACUGAAGGGGAGCUUCCCGGAGAACCUGAGACACCUUAAGAACACCAUGGAGACCAUAGACUGGAAGGUCUUUGAGAGCUGGAUGCACCAUUGGCUCCUGUUUGAAAUGAGCAGGCACUCCUUGGAGCAAAAGCCCACUGACGCUCCACCGAAAGUCACUGGAACUGGAGGACCCGUCUUCUGGGCUGGGUGUGACCAAGCAGGAUCUGGGCCCAGAGCAGCAGAGGCGGUCUUCAACAUCCUGCCAGCCCCACACAGCUACAGCUUUCUUGCUCCCUUCAGCCCCCAGCCCCUCCCCCAUCUCCCACCCUGUACCUCAUCCCAUGAGACCCUGGUGCCUGGCUCUUUCGUCACCCUUGGACAAGACAAACCAAGUCGGAACAGCAGAUAACAAUGCAGCAAGGCCCUGCUGCCCAAUCUCCAUCUGUCAACAGGGGCGUGAGGUCCCAGGAAGUGGCCAAAAGCUAGACAGAUCCCCGUUCCUGACAUCACAGCAGCCUCCAACACAAGGCUCCAAGACCUAGGCUCAUGGACGAGAUGGGAAGGCACAGGGAGAAGGGAUAACCCUACACCCAGACCCCAGGCUGGACAUGCUGACUGUCCUCUCCCCUCCAGCCUUUGGCCUUGGCUUUUCUAGCCUAUUUACCUGCAGGCUGAGCCACUCUCUUCCCUUUCCCCAGCAUCACUCCCCAAGGAAGAGCCAAUGUUUUCCACCCAUAAUCCUUUCUGCCGACCCCUAGUUCCCUCUGCUCAGCCAAGCUUGUUAUCAGCUUUCAGGGCCAUGGUUCACAUUAGAAUAAAAGGUAGUAAUU
rnacentral:lncRNA from 1 species